rnacentral:rRNA from 1 species
GUGGGGAAUCUUGCGCAAUGGGCGAAAGCCUGACGCAGCCAUGCCGCGUGAAUGAUGAAGGUCUUAGGAUUGUAAAAUUCUUUCACCGGGGACGAUAAUGACGGUACCCGGAGAAGAAGCCCCGGCUAACUUCGUGCCAGAAGCCGCGGUAAUACGAAGGGGGCUAGCGUUGCUCGGAAUUACUGGGCGUAAAGGGCGCGUAGGCGGACAGUUUAGUCAGAGGUGAAAGCCCAGGGCUCAACCUUGGACUUGCCUUUGAUACUGGGUGUCUUGAGUACGGGAGAGGUGAGUGGAACUCCGAGUGUAGAGGUGAAAUUCGUAGAUAUUCGGAAGAACACCAGUGGCGAAGGCGACUCACUGGCCCGUUACUGACGCUGAGGCGCGAAAGCGUGGGGAGCAAACAGGAUUAGAAACCCCUGUAGUCC